GCGGUCUGCUUAACACAUGCAAGUCGAACGGGCUCUUCGGAGCUAGUGGCGGACGGGUGAGUAACGCGUGAGGAUCUGCCCUUUAGGAUGGGGACAACAGCUGGAAACGGCUGCUAAUACCCGAUGUGCCGAGAGGUGAAACUAUUUGGCCUGAGGAUGAGCUCGCGUCUGAUUAGCUAGUUGGAGUGGUAACGGCACACCAAGGCGACGAUCAGUAGCUGGUCUGAGAGGAUGAUCAGCCACACUGGGACUGAGACACGGCCCAGACUCCUACGGGAGGCAGCAGUGGGGAAUUUUCCGCAAUGGGCGAAAGCCUGACGGAGCAAGACCGCGUGCGGGAGGAAGGUCUAUUGAUUGUAAACCGCUUUUGAUAGGGAAGAAGAUCUGACGGUACCUAUCGAAUCAGCAUCGGCUAACUCCGUGCCAGCAGCCGCGGUAAUACGGGGGAUGCAAGCGUUAUCCGGAAUUAUUGGGCGUAAAGCGUCCGUAGGUGGUUUUAAAAGUCUGUUGUCAAAUCGCGAGGCUUAACCUCGUACAGGCAGUGGAAACUAUAAGACUAGAGUGCGGUAGGGGUAGAGGGAAUUUCCAGUGUAGCGGUGAAAUGCGUAGAUAUUGGAAAGAACACCGGUGGCGAAGGCGCUCUACUGGGCCUGCACUGACACUGAGGGACGAAAGCUAGGGGAGCGAAAGGGAUUAGAUACCCCUGUAGUCCUAGCCGUAA
rnacentral:rRNA from 1 species